rnacentral:lncRNA from 1 species
AGAACCUAAAGAAAUGGUGUUACCUGGCAAGAGAUCUGCUAUCCUUUAUGAAAAAUCCAGCCAAGGUUGGCCCUUUGAAUUCUUUGAG